rnacentral:rRNA from 1 species
CAGCAGCCGCGGGAAUACGUAUGUCGCGAGCGUUAUCCGGAAUUAUUGGGCAUAAAGGGCAUCUAGGCGGCCUAACAAGUCAGGGGUGAAAACCUGCGGCUCAACCGCAGGCCUGCCUUUGAAACUGUAAGGCUGGAGUACCGGAGAGGUGGACGGAACUGCACGAGUAGAGGUGAAAUUCGUAGAUAUGUGCAGGAAUGCCGAUGAUGAAGAUAGUCCACUGGACGGAAACUGACGCUGAAGUGCGAAAGCGUGGGGAGCAAACAGGAUUAGAUACCCGCGUAGUCCCUGUCUCUUAUAC